GCCGGGUGUGGUGGUGCACACCUGGAAUCCCAGCUACUCGGGAGGCUGAGGCAGGAGAAUUGCUUGAACCCAGGAGGUGGAGGUUGCAGUGAGCCGAGGUCAUGUCACUACACCCCAGCCUGGGUAACAGAGUGAGACUCCGUCUCUA
ensembl:misc_RNA Metazoa_SRP Metazoan signal recognition particle RNA